rnacentral:rRNA from 1 species
UACGUAGGGUGCGAGCGUUGUUCGGAUUCAUUGGGCGUAAAGGGCGCGUAGGCUGCGGGGCAAGUCGGGUGUGAAAUCUCAGAGCUCAACUCUGAAACUGCACUCGAUACUGCUUUGCUCGAGGACUGGAGAGGAGAUUGGAAUUCACGGUGUAGCAGUGAAAUGCGUAGAUAUCGUGAGGAAGACCAGUGGCGAAGGCGGAUCUCUGGACAGUUCCUGACGCUGAGGCGCGAAGGCCAGGGGAGCAAACGGG